UACCAGCACCCCGAGUGGUCGGGACGAUUAUUGGGCCUAAAGCAUCCGUAGCCGGUCCUGCAAGUCUUCCGUUAAAUCCAGCUGCUCAACAGAUGGGCUGCGGGAGAUACUACAGGGUUAGGAGGCGGGAGAGGCAAGCGGUACUUUAUGGGUAGGGGUAAAAUCCGCUGAUCCAUAGAAGACCACCAGUGGCGAAGGCGGCUUGCCAGAACGCGCUCGACGGUGAGGGAUGAAAGCUGGGGGAGCAAACCGG
rnacentral:rRNA from 1 species